CCAGUGAUAAACUGGAGGAAGGUGGGGAUGACGUCAAGUCAUCAUGGCCCUUACGACCAGGGCUACACACGUGCUACAAUGGCGCAUACAAAGAGAAGCGACCUCGCGAGAGCAAGCGGACCUCAUAAAGUGCGUCGUAGUCCGGAUUGGAGUCUGCAACUCGACUCCAUGAAGUCGGAAUCGCUAGUAAUCGUGGAUCAGAAUGCCACGGUGAAUACGUUCCCGGGCCUUGUACACACCGCCCGUCACACCAUGGGAGUGGGUUGCAAAAGAAGUAGGUAGCUUAACCUUCGGGAGGGCGCUUACCACUUUGUGAUUCAUGACUGGGGUGAAGUCGUAACAAGGUAACCGUAGGGGAACCUGCGGUUGGAUCAC
rnacentral:rRNA from 1 species